rnacentral:rRNA from 1 species
GACGUAGGGCGCGAGCGUGUCCGGAUUUAUUGGGCGUAAAGAGCUCGUAGGCGGCUUGUCGCGUCGAAUGUGAAAACCCACGGCUCAACUGUGGGCUUGCAUUCGAUACGGGCAGCUAGAGUUCGGUAGGGGAGACUGGAAUUCCUGGUGUAGCGGUGAAAUGCGCAGAUAUCAGGAGGAACACCGGAGGCGAAGGCGCUCACUGGGGGUCUUUCUGACGCUGAGGAACGAAAGCCAGGGGAGCGAACGGG